rnacentral:rRNA from 1 species
UACGGAGGGGGCGAGCGUUAUUCGGAAUUAUUGGGCGUAAAGGGCGCGUAGGCGGCGCGGUAAGUCGGGUGUGAAAUCUCGGAGCUUAACUCCGAAACUGCAUUCGAUACUGCCGUGCUUGAGGACUGGAGAGGAGACUGGAAUUUACGGUGUAGCGGUGAAAUGCGUAGAUAUCGUAAGGAAGACCAGUGGCGAAGGCGGGUCUCUGGACAGUUCCUGACGCUGAGGCACGAAGGCCAGGGGAGCAAACGGG